CACGUAGGCGGACUGUUAAGUCGGGGGUGAAAUCCCGGGGCUCAACCCCGGAACUGCCUCCGAUACUGGCAGUCUUGAGUUCGAGAGAGGUGAGUGGAAUUCCGAGUGUAGAGGUGAAAUUCGUAGAUAUUCGGAGGAACACCAGUGGCGAAGGCGGCUCACUGGCUCGAUACUGACGCUGAGGUGCGAAAGCGUGGGGAGCAAACA
rnacentral:rRNA from 1 species